UACGUAGGGUGCAAGCGUUAAUCGGAAUUACUGGGCGUAAAGCGUGCGCAGGCGGUUAUGUAAGACAGUUGUGAAAUCCCCGGGCUCAACCUGGGAACUGCAUCUGUGACUGCAUAGCUAGAGUACGGUAGAGGCGUGUGGAAUUCCGGGUGUAGUGGUGAAAUGCGUAGAGAUCCGGAGGAACACCAGUGGCGAAGGCGACACGCUGGGCCGUACCUGACACUGAUGCGCGACAGCAUGGGGAGCAAACAGG
rnacentral:rRNA from 1 species